rnacentral:rRNA from 1 species
UACGAGGGGGGCAAAUGUUGUUCGGAAUCACUGGGCGUAAAGGGAGCGUAGGCGGGUUUUUAAGUUGGAUGUUUAACCCCGGGGCCCAACCCCGGAUCGGCAUCCAAAACUGGAAAUCUUGAAUAGGGGAGAGGUCAGUGGAAUUGGAGGUGUAGCGGUGGAAUGCGUAGAGAUCUCCAAGAACACCAGUUGCGAAGGCGGCUGACUGGACCCAUAUUGACGCUGAGGCUCGAAAGCAUGGGGAGCAAACAGG